GAACUGAAUCCAAGUACUGAUUGGACUCAAUUAUCAUCUCCUUUCUCCCUUCUCAGGUCUCUGGCUAUUCGGGUGUCUGGCCGGAGCCCCCCAGGGGGCCCAGAGCCGCAGGACAAGGGACCAGAUGGACUGUCAUUUUAUGGGGACAGAUGGUCUGGGGCUGUGGUGCGCAGGGUGCUGUCUGGGCCUGGGUCGGCCAGGAUGGAACCAAGAGAGCCUCUGGGCUGCUCUGCUCUCAGAAGUUCACUUCUUUCCCUCCCUGCCUGGGUUUUCUCCCAGCAAAGGGUGGAAGCUGCUGGUCUGGAGGGGGCGUGCCUGGAAGCCGAGGCCCAGCAGAGAACCUUGCUCUGGAACCAGGGGUCCACACUCCCUUCCCUGAUGGACUCGAAGGCCUGCCAGUCCUUCCACGAGGCCCUAGAAGCCUGGGCAAAGGGGCCAGGUGCCGAGCCCUUCUACAUUCGUGCCAACCUCACCCUGCCUGAGAGGGCAGAUCCCCAUGCCCUUUGCGUGAAAGCCCAAGAGAUCCUUCGACUGGUGGACCCGGC
rnacentral:sRNA from 1 species